CCUACGGGAGGCUGCAGUGAGGAAUCUUGGUCAAUGGGCGAGAGUCUGAACCAGCCAAGUAGCGUGAGGGAUGACUGCCCUCUGCGUUUUAAACUUCUUUUUUGAAGGAAUAAGACUGGGCGCGUGUCCCUUUAUGCAUUUACUUUAUGAAUCAUGAUCGGCUAACUCCGUUCCAGCAGCCCCGGUAAUACGGUGGAUCCGAGCGUUAUCCGGAUUUAUUGGGUUUAAAGGGAGCCUAGAUGGGUUGUUAAGUCAGUUGUGAAAGUUUGCGGCUCAACCGUAAAAGUGCAUUUGAUACUGGCAGUCUUGAGUACAGAUGAGGUAGGCGGAAUUCGUGGUGUAGCGGUGAAAUGCUUAGAUAUAACGAAGAACACCGAUUGCGAAGGCAGCUUACUAAUCUGUGACUGACAUUGAGGCUCGAAAGUGUGGGUAUCAAACAGGAUUAGAUACCCUGGUAGUC
rnacentral:rRNA from 1 species